rnacentral:rRNA from 1 species
AUUGAACGCUGGCGGCAUGCCUUACACAUGCAAGUCGAACGGUAACGGGCCUUAGGGUGCCGCCGAGUGGCGCACGGGUGAGUAAUACAUCGGAACGUGCCCGAUCGUGGGGGAUAACGAGGCGAAAGCUUUGCUAAUACCGCAUACGAUCUACGGAUGAAAGCAGGGGACCGCAAGGCCUUGCGCGGACGGAGCGGCCGAUGGCGGAUUAGGUAGUUGGUGGGAUAAAAGCUUACCAAGCCGACGAUCUGUAGCUGGUCUGAGAGGAUGAUCAGCCACACUGGGACUGAGACACGGCCCAGACUCCUACGGGAGGCAGCAGUGGGGAAUUUUGGACAAUGGGCGCAAGCCUGAUCCAGCCAUGCCGCGUGCAGGAUGAAGGCCUUCGGGUUGUAAACUGCUUUUGUACGGAACGAAAAGCCUUCUUUUAAUACAGGAGGGUCAUGACGGUACCGUAAGAAUAAGCACCGGCUAACUACGUG